ACGACCUUACUUGAACAGGAUCUGUUCUAUAGGCUCGUACCUCUGAAUCCUUGAUUUCUAAGGAGACAGGAAACUAAGCCUGGUGGAUGAACCAUGGCUGCUCGGCCAGAGCGUGAUUAACGGACUCAGUGGCGCAUGCUAUCUGACUCAGUAGAGGAUCGUUCUCGGUCAGCUUUGGCUGGCUGGGGUGGUCGAGCAGCUGUCUGACAGACU
rnacentral:snoRNA from 1 species